AUUGAACGCUAGCGGCAUGCCUAACACAUGCAAGUCGAACGAGUGGCGGACGGGUGAGUAAUGUCUGGGAAACUGCCUGAUGGAGGGGGAUAACUACUGGAAACGGUAGCUAAUACCGCAUACCAUCGGAUGUGCCCAUAUGGGAUUAGCUAGUCGGUGGGGUAAAGGCUCACCUAGGCGAAGAGCCCUAGCUGGUCUGAGAGGAUGACCAGCCACACUGGAACUGAGACAAGGUCCAGACUCCUACGGGAGGCAGCAGUGGGGAAUAGUGCACAAUGGGCGCAAGCCUGAUGCAGCCAUGCCGCGUGUAUGAAGAAGGCCUUCGGGUGGUAAAGUACUUUUAGCGGGGAGGCGUUACCCGCAGAAGAAGCACCGGCUAACUCCGUGCCAGCAGCCGCGGUAAUAC
rnacentral:rRNA from 1 species